CGGUGGCAUGUAAAAGCACCCACUACACUCUUGGAGUGGCUGGCUUGAGGAAGGGCAUCCAGCCAUAGAAACCCUGUCAAAUCAGACCGGUGUCUGAUGCAGCCCCUCAACUUACCAGCCCAGGUCAAACUGUCCAACUCAUGCCAGCAUGGACAAUGGACAUUAAAUGAUGAAGGUGAU